AACAUCGCCUCCUGCAAAAAUCAAUGUAUAGGAGGUCCUGCCUGCCCAGUGACAACUUGUUAAACGGCCGCGGUAUUUUGACCGUGCUAAGGUAGCGCAAUCACUUGUCUUUUAAAUGAAGACCUGUAUGAAUGGUGGAACGAGGGCUUAACUGUCUCCCUUCUCCCGUCAAUGAAAUUGAUCUGCCCGUGCAGAAGCGGACAUAUAUAUACAAGACGAGAAGACCCUUUGGAGCUUAUUGGGGCGACCGCGGGGGAAAACAAAGCCCCCACGUAAUACCGAGAGAGACAUCUCUAAGCCACAGAAUAUCUGACCAAAAGAUCCGGCCCACAGGCCGAUCAACGAACCAAGUUACCCUAGGGAUAACAGCGCAAUCCCCUCCAAGAGUUCAUAUCGACGAGAGGGUUUACGACCUCGAUGUUGGAUCAGGACAUCCUAAUGGUGCAGCCGCUAUUAAGGGUUCGUUUGUUCAACGAUUAAAGUCCUACGUGAUCU
rnacentral:rRNA from 1 species